rnacentral:rRNA from 1 species
UACGGAGGGGGCGAGCGUUGUUCGGAAUCAUUGGGCGUAAAGGGCGCGUAGGCGGCCUGCCAAGUCGGAUGUGAAAUCCCUCGGCUCAACCGAGGAACUGCACUCGAUACUGGCAGGCUAGAGUCCGGGAGGGGAUGGUGGAAUUCCCAGUGUAGCGGUGAAAUGCGUAGAUAUUGGGAAGAACACCGGUGGCGAAGGCGGCCAUCUGGACCGGCACUGACGCUGAGGCGCGAAAGCCAGGGGAGCGAAUGGG